rnacentral:rRNA from 1 species
GCAGGGAAUCUUGCGCAAUGGGCGAAAGCCUGACGCAGCGACACCGCGUGGGGGAUGAAUGUCUUAGGAUUGUAAACCCCUUUUAUGAGGGAAGAGCAAGGACGGUACCUCAUGAAUAAGGAUCGGCUAACUACGUGCCAGCAGCCGCGGUAAUACGUAGGAUUCGAGCGUUGUCCGGAUUUAUUGGGCGUAAAGGGUGUGUAGGCGGCAUGGCAAGUCUCAUGUGAAAUCUCCCGGCUCAACUGGGAGGGGUCAUGGGAAACUGCCAAGCUGGAGGGCAGCAGAGGAAAGCGGAAUUCCGGGAGUAGUGGUGAAAUGCGUAGAUACCCGGAGGAACACCCGAGGCGAAGGCGGCUUUCUGGGCUGUACCUGACGCUGAGACACGAAAGCGUGGGGAGCAAACCGG